rnacentral:rRNA from 1 species
AAAUUGAAGAGUUUGAUCAUGGCUCAGAUUGAACGCUGGCGGCAGGCCUAACACAUGCAAGUCGAACGGUAACAGGAAGCAGCUUGCUGCUUUGCUGACGAGUGGCGGACGGGUGAGUAAUGUCUGGGAAACUGCCUGAUGGAGGGGGAUAACUACUGGAAACGGUGGCUAAUACCGCAUAACGUCGCAAGACCAAAGAGGGGGACCUUCGGGCCUCUUGCCAUCAGAUGUGCCCAGAUGGGAUUAGCUUGUUGGUGAGGUAACGGCUCACCAAGGCGACGAUCCCUAGCUGGUCUGAGAGGAUGACCAGCCACACUGGAACUGAGACACGGUCCAGACUCCUACGGGAGGCAGCAGUGGGGAAUAUUGCACAAUGGGCGCAAGCCUGAUGCAGCCAUGCCGCGUGUAUGAAGAAGGCCUUCGGGUUGUAAAGUACUUUCAGCGGGGAGGAAGGUGUUGUGGUUAAUAACCGCAGCAAUUGACGUUACCCGCAGAAGAAGCACCGGCUAACUCCGUGCCAGCAGCCGCGGUAAUACGGAGGGUGCAAGCGUUAAUCGGAAUUACUGGGCGUAAAGCGCACGCAGGCGGUCUGUCAAGUCGGAUGUGAAAUCCCCGGGCUCAACCUGGGAACUGCAUUCGAAACUGGCAGGCUUGAGUCUUGUAGAGGGGGGUAGAAUUCCAGGUGUAGCGGUGAAAUGCGUAGAGAUCUGGAGGAAUACCGGUGGCGAAGGCGGCCCCCUGGACAAAGACUGACGCUCAGGUGCGAAAGCGUGGGGAGCAAACAGGAUUAGAUACCCUGGUAGUCCACGCCGUAAACGAUGUCUACUUGGAGGUUGUGCCCUUGAGGCGUGGCUUCCGGAGCUAACGCGUUAAGUAGACCGCCUGGGGAGUACGGCCGCAAGGUUAAAACUCAAAUGAAUUGACGGGGGCCCGCACAAGCGGUGGAGCAUGUGGUUUAAUUCGAUGCAACGCGAAGAACCUUACCUGGUCUUGACAUCCACAGAACUUUCCAGAGAUGGAUUGGUGCCUUCGGGAACUGUGAGACAGGUGCUGCAUGGCUGUCGUCAGCUCGUGUUGUGAAAUGUUGGGUUAAGUCCCGCAACGAGCGCAACCCUUAUCCUUUGUUGCCAGCGGUCCGGCCGGGAACUCAAAGGAGACUGCCAGUGAUAAACUGGAGGAAGGUGGGGAUGACGUCAAGUCAUCAUGGCCCUUACGACCAGGGCUACACACGUGCUACAAUGGCGCAUACAAAGAGAAGCGACCUCGCGAGAGUAAGCGGACCUCAUAAAGUGCGUCGUAGUCCGGAUUGGAGUCUGCAACUCGACUCCAUGAAGUCGGAAUCGCUAGUAAUCGUGGAUCAGAAUGCCACGGUGAAUACGUUCCCGGGCCUUGUACACACCGCCCGUCACACCAUGGGAGUGGGUUGCAAAAGAAGUAGGUAGCUUAACCUUCGGGAGGGCGCUUACCACUUUGUGAUUCAUGACUGGGGUGAAGUCGUAACAAGGUAACCGUAGGGGAACCUGCGGUUGGAUCACCUCCUUACCUUAAAGAAGC